rnacentral:rRNA from 1 species
UACGUAGGGGGCAAGCGUUGUCCGGAAUCAUUGGGCGUAAAGCGCGCGUAGGCGGCCCGAUCAGUCCGCUGUAAAAGUCCAGGGCUCAACCCUGGAAAGCCGGUGGAUACUGUCGGGCUAGAGUCCGGAAGAGGCGAGUGGAAUUCCUGGUGUAGCGGUGAAAUGCGUAGAUAUCUGCAGGAACACCCGUGGCGAAAGCGGCGAGCUGGAUCACUACUGACGCUGAGGAACGAAAGCUAGGGGAGCAAACAGG